UAUUCUUUCUCUGCUAUGUUCUUCUGGGACUCUUCUGGUGUAAUAGAACUAGCAAAUAGCAAGCAAAGGAAACACUAGCUGCCAAAGGAAAUGUUUGUGGACCCACUGGUCUUCCUUUCCCACUCCUGUGGAAGGGUGCUGUAUUUCUAUAGAGAUUUGCUGUGGAGCUCCCAUAUAUGGUGUGCAAGGGAAUUACAGAGCUGCUUUGCAUGGACCUUACUUCUGGGAGCCUGGCGUAAUGGAAACGUAGGGCUUUCUGUGGUUAUGCAGCUGGGAACAGCAUCAUCAACACCCAAACAACAAAGGAAUCAGCACUGGACGGGG